ensembl:lncRNA
GACUUGACCUAGCUUACCUUGGGUCACCGAAAGGAUUUGAAUUUCUUCACUGGUAUUCAAACCUAAAUGCUUUGGGAUUCCAACAGAAUGAAGAUCAAUGUCUAUCCAGGAUUCCGGUGCCACACUAGGGCUACUGAGAUACUGAGUCUUGUAGAUUGAACAACUGCCAGAAUCUUGGCCUUUCCAUCAUGAAUUAGUCAUUAAUGGACUAUCCAGCUGCUAGACUGCAUCUGCUGAAACGGCCUUUGAACUUCAUCUUCUUGCUUCCAGAUACGCAGUGAUGAGAUUAUAAAUGUGUACCACCAUGACCAGAUAUUGAAUACUUACUAUAUGCCAGGCAGAAUGAUAAUGAAAAUUAAAGGUGAGCUAAGUGCAUCUGUUGUACAGGACAAAACAUUGCUCCUGCUUCCUGACCUGCUUGAGUUCCAGUCCUGACUUCCUUUGGUGAUGAACAGCAAUGUGGAAGUGCUCCUGAAAGCACUGAGCUCCACUUCUUCCUAACCCCAUCCAACCCUGCUACCCCAAACACCAGCUCCAAGCUCUGGAGAAGGUAUGUUGUUGUCUUUACUGCUUGUUUGUCUGGUGCCUGUGGAGGUCAGAAGAGAGCAUUGCAUUUUCUGGAACUCGGGGUUGGGGAC